AAAAAGAAAAAACAAUAACCCUCUCUUCUUCUUUAUGAUGUUAAUUCACUAGAAAAGAAGAAGAAGAAGAAGAAGAAGAAGAAGAAGAAGAAACCCAAUUGAAAAGAGACAAAAAGCGUAACAGAGAAAAAGAGAGGGAGAAGGAUUGUAGACCAAGAAGAAGAAGAAAUGUACGUGAGAGCAGAUCCUUCGACGGAUGUGAAUCGGAACACCGAAUGGUUCACCUAUCCAGGCGUCUGGACUACUUACAUCGGCAUCCUUUUCGCCUCCUGGUUCAUGGUUAUCUGCCUCCUGGGCUGCUCCCCCGGCACCGCUUGGACCGUCGUCCAUCUCGCCCACUUCCUAGUCAGUUGCCCCCUUGCUUUACAAACUUUCCCUUUUCUCCAUUUUCAAUUUCUCUUUAGGGUUAACGAUGAAUGAAGCAAAGGUGGAUUCUUUUUUUGUCCCGCCGUAUGUUGAAUUUGUUACUGAAAUUCUAUGGGUAAUUACGAAAUGAGCAAAACAGGAAAAGAAGAAAAACCAUGGCUAAUUUUUGUUUUUUAGGUAGAUUAAGAUUUUUGGUCAGUAAAAUAUAUAUAAAUAAAAGAAGAAGAAGAAGAAGAAACCCAAUUGAAAAGAGACAAAAAGCGUAACAGAGAAAAAGAGAGGGAGAAGGAUUGUAGACCAAGAAGAAGAAGAAAUGUACGUGAGAGCAGAUCCUUCGACGGAUGUGAAUCGGAACACCGAAUGGUUCACCUAUCCAGGCGUCUGGACUACUUACAUCGGCAUCCUUUUCGCCUCCUGGUUCAUGGUUAUCUGCCUCCUGGGCUGCUCCCCCGGCACCGCUUGGACCGUCGUCCAUCUCGCCCACUUCCUAGUCAGUUGCCCCCUUGCUUUACAAACUUUCCCUUUUCUCCAUUUUCAAUUUCUCUUUAGGGUUAACGAUGAAUGAAGCAAAGGUGGAUUCUUUUUUUGUCCCGCCGUAUGUUGAAUUUGUUACUGAAAUUCUAUGGGUAUGUAUAAUGAGCUGAAAUUCGGCGGAAGUAUUCAAUAGGGUUAGGUUUGGUAGAAUUGUGUUGAAUUUGUUGAGGGUUAUCAAGGGCUUUUGUGCCCCUUGAAGAGGCUUUGUUUCCUGGCACUAGAUAAGAUUGGUACUGUAGCUUAACUCUGCAGAAUAUGGGAUGUCAUAGUGAUGAGUAUAUGUGCUUGUUGGAUUGAAAUCGUAGUGCUUGUCAUGAAUAUCUGUGCUUGCACUAAUUCGGAUGUUUGAUAUUGUGUGUUUGUAUGUUCUCUAUAAAAAAAAACCUGUAGAUUACGUACCACUUCUUUCACUGGAAGAAGGGAACUCCAUUUGCUGACGACCAAGGUAUCUAC
rnacentral:lncRNA from 1 species